GUUGGUUUGGCUAUCCUAGAAUUCAUAGACUUCCAGCCUGUUAAACCAACACUUUCGUGAAAGUGGUGCACAAUUCAUGUAUGAACAACAUAAAAGUAGUUAAAGAUUUUCGUUCGAAGACAAUUUUCAUACAUUCAAUUGCUUUUUCUGGGGGGUGAUCAUGCAGGAAACCUCAUACUGUGCUCUCCUUUCCAAAACCCCUUUGAAGCUAGUAACAGUCGUUAUUAAUAAAUAGGUUUGGUAAAGAGCAAGUCAGUCACAAUAGUAAAGAAAUUGGGUCCAGCUGACUGCAAUUUUUUAACUCAGUUGCCUUUGUUCUUAGGGUCUGCUUGAGUCCUGCUUUUUUUGAUGUGAGGAGUAAGCCGCACUCUUACAUUUUGGCAAGUUGUGCAUAUUAUAUUUAAAUUCGUGGUUCUUGCUUAAACCUACACGGCCGCUUAUAAGUUCCAUUAGAGGAAAGUCUUAAAACUUGUGGCUCUGGUUGCUUGAUAUACACUCUAUGAAGAAACUAAUUCUCCUGUGCAACGUAUAUCAGGCGGAACCGAGUAGGAUACGCAGUCCAUGGACCAGUAUUACAAAAAUUGCAGGUAAAAUUUAAUUUUUUUUAAAUUGUU